GAGUUGUUUUGUCCCAGCUGUCUGAAGUAGGUGAGGAGCAACACAAAAACAGUCCAAAUGCUGGUUUCCAGAGGGUUAGAUGAGUAUUUAUUUGAAAGAGUAAGUUUACAACAACACAACAUGUGAGGGGGUUAAAAGCAAAUGGGUGUUAGUAAAGUAAAAAUAAAUAAACAGAACUAAAAGUGAACUUCAUGUUGACAUUGAUGGGCAUUCCAACCAGGAACAAAGUAAAAGAUAAUCAAUAGGAAAAAAAACUCUUCCUGUUCACCUCUUAAAACCCCCAAAACACACCUCAGUAGCACCCUAAACUAAAACUACCAAUGGGUUCCCUGUUUUCCUUUGUGAACAAUUCAAAGGUCCCUCUCUAUCUCCCCAAACAUCCACCAACCACUGGAACUCAUCUCCAAAGUUCUGCUGGACCAGCUCAGCUUCCCCUCAGAAGAAGUGCUGCCACCUGCCAGAUGAAGGAGCCUUUUGAGAGGCAGCUGGCAUCGUGAUUGGACUGUACUUUGGUCUGUUCCAAUCCAGCUUCAGCUCCAGAGACGGCAGGUGGGACGAGUCAACGGAGGCCUGGUGGACGAAGGCAUGCAGCUGAGUACAAUCCAGAAAACAACAGAGGAGGAGUGCAGCAGCCCAGAGCCAGAACAACCAGAGUAGCAUGACCAAAGAACUACAGACUCUUCACAACCUGCUCAAACUCUUGGUACAGGACCUCACCACACGGGUCAAGAAGGUUUCUGUCUCAUUUCUACUCUGAAGCUCACCUUCUGCUCAAACUGCUGACAAAUGUUUCUGCUGCUCUAAAGUCUGGUCUCCAGAACUUCCUAAAAACUCUCAAAGUCUCUUCUGCUGCAGGUUGCUUUGUAGAACUGUUCCAGAAAACCUCACUAAACUACAUGGAGGGGCCUCAAGAUAGUCGUCCAAAUGAAACCAUACAAAAACCAAACUAGCACAACCCAAACACUAAAGUCUCCUGCAGCCUACCAGAGAAGCUCUGAGAACAGAGAAUCAGGACAGGAACUCUUACCUUCUGGACAACCAACGUUGGUUCUCAAACAAGAAUACAGAAUGUGUCUGACCAAAAACCUCUAAAGACUCACUACAGCCAAGAUAAAGACACAACUCAGCUGCAUCAAAUCCACUAAUCACUGCACACAUUAGCACCAUGUGCUAACUGUGGCUAAAGAACCACAUUUACCAAGACAACUAUCCAGUACAAAGCCCUAAAACACACCAAGAAACACAUUAAAGACGAUUUUACUGCUGGAAGCUGCAAGCCAACGCCUAAAGAACAAACUAAAGCAACGGAACCAAACCCGGUUCUGUGGUGAAGAGAAACAGAGGAAAUGUUUGUCUGCAGCUAAAUAAAGCAGGAAGACACUGAGCUGCUCAGGUGUUCCUGAUAACACCAAGCAGCCACCUGGACAGCCAAUAGGAACACAGCUUCCUGGAAGUCCAGAGGGCUGGCUUAGUGAAGGAAAUUUAGUUUAAAGUUGAAGCAGAAAGUUAACAAAGAAAGUUGAAAACCACCUUCUGAUCCCUGAAAUCUCUGAGUUUUCACACAAAGAACACCUGAACAUGUCAAACCGGUUCCAUAGUAGAACCAUCAUUGUAAAAACAUCAUAGUAUGGUGUGUUGCUCAAAAUACAUUAGGACCCGACUGUCUAGGGUCGCUGAUGAGCAACACAAAAACAGGACAAACGCUGGUUUCCAGGGGGUUAGGAGGAUAUUUAUUUGAAAGAGGAACUUUACAACAACACAACAUGUGAGCAGAAAAAUCACAAAGUCUGUCUUUAGUUCAGCUGAAAAUAUUAGUUUUUGUCUUUUUUAUUGACCAAACUUUUCAGGAAGUAGAUGAAGAAUAAUUAAAGCUCUCAUGUAGAAGUCCAACUUAUUUUGGAUCCUUGUGGAGAGUUUAAUCUUAGAGUUUGUAAAGCUGUUGAGUUUUUAGAGUCACAUGGAUUGUUUUGACAUUUAAUAACAGAGUCCUGAAAUAAAAUUACAGUUGUAGAUUUCUGUCAUUUAGUCUGGACUAAACAAAUAACAGCAGCAUAAAUCUCAAAUGUCAUUAUGAGGAGUCUGGAUUGAGGUUUCUCACUUGAUAAUGAUCAAAACAUGAAAUUUAGGUUGGUUUAAAGGAAUAUUCCACCUUAAAUCUUUGAAUGUUGACCUAAAAGGUUGGUUUCAGGAAGUAUUCCACCUACAAGGUCCUCAAACAUCCACCUUAAAGGAACAUUCCACCAAAAAUCCUUGGACAUGCACCUAAAAUGUUGGUUUAACAGAGUAUUCCAUCCAAAAUCCUCAGAGAGACCUGAGGGGCUGGUUAAAAGGAAUAUUCCACCUAAAACCUCAAAUAUAGACCCCAAAGGGUGGUUUAGAAAAAAAUCCUUCAAUGUAGACCAAAAAAGUUAGUAUGGAGGAAUCCACCUGAAAUGUAGACCUGAGAAGUUGGUUUGGAAGAAUAUACCAUCCUAAACAUCCUUAAAUGUAGACUAAAAGAUGGUUUGGAAGAAAAUUCCACCUAAAAUCCUUCAAUGUAGACCUAAAAGGUGAGUUUAAUGGUAUAUUCCACCUAAAAUUCACUACUGUAGACCUUGGAGGUUGGUCUGAUGGUAUAUUCCAUCCAGCAUCCUGGAACAUAAACUUAAAAAGUUCAUUCAAAGGAAUAUUCCACCUAAAAUCCUUCAAUGUAGACCAAAAAAUCUUGGUGUAAAGGAGUAUUCCACCUUAAAUGUAGACCUAAAGGAUGGUUUGGAGUAAUAUUCUACUCUAAAAUCUUCCAAUGUAGACCUAAAAGGUUGAUCUGAUGGUAUAUUCUACCCAACAUCCUGGAACAUUUACCUAAAAGGUUGGUUUAAUGGUAUAUUCCCAGAAGAACCCUUGAACAUUGGGUUUAAUGGUAUAUUCCACCCAAAAUACUUGUGCAUUUACCAAGAAGUCAGUGUAAAGGAAAUGUAGACCUAAAAGGAUUGUUUAAAGGAAUAUUUAAAGGAUUAUUUUCAUUAUUUAAUAAUCUGUUAUCAGUCAGAAUCCUGGUAAACUUAUUUUCAUCAGUUUUUUAGUGGAAGUCACAAAUAAAGGAGCUCUUGGUUUUUCCCGGCGUUACUGAGUCCAAAGCUGCUGUUUCAACACAGAACGUUCACAUGCAUCCACAAACCUCUCAGCACUCAAACACCCACAGACAGGAGGCCGGCUGGACCGAGGCUCGGCGGCGUCCUCAGACCCACGAGUCGGGGAGUCGCUGAACUUGUUGGUCCGGUUUGAAGGCCUCCAUGUGGUCCAGUAGAAGUCCACGUAGUCGGUGUUGGCUUUGAACCGCAGCGACUGGCCACCAUCAGGUGGACCAGCUCGUCCUCGUAGGACUCCUUCUGUAGCCUUGAGGGAACCACAGGAACAUUCAGUAGCUGUUGGAGUUCUUCCUGUCAGGCUCGUGGUAGAACGGCUCUGAAGAAUCUUGUACUUGUCUUAUCUGGAACAAUCUAACAGCCUAAACUGUUAACAGCAGUGUAAAGAAGCAAACACACAGGCAGAGAUUAGGACUCAAACUAGAUUUAUUUUAGAAAACAAAUCAGCUUAGAGGCAUUUGUUCACACAUGUGGCUGAAUAGGAGGCCGUCCAAUCAGAUUGGAGGUCUUCACUCUGUAGGUUGUUUGUUGGGUGAGACUCUUGGACCUCCAUCAGCUGACGUGGAUGUUUGAUGGUCUUCCUCUCUAGUGCCAGAUGAUUCAUCCAUGAAUUCAGCAGCUACAGACUGAAAUGAAGCUCAUGCUGCCGUUAUUGAAUUCCUGUUCCAGAUCAAAUGUUCAGAUCUCACCUUGAAUGCAGCCGUCUGCUGUCUGAUAGUUUUUCUCAUUGUAGUCUUCAAUAAAGUCUUUUUCCUCAUGUCA